rnacentral:rRNA from 1 species
CGCCAGACUCCUACGGGAGGCAGCAGUGGGGAAUAUUGCACAAUGGGGGAAACCCUGAUGCAGCGACGCCGCGUGAGCGAUGAAGUAUUUCGGUAUGUAAAGCUCUAUCAGCAGGGAAGAAAAUGACGGUACCUGACUAAGAAGCCCCGGCUAACUACGUGCCAGCAGCCGCGGUAAUACGUAGGGGGCAAGCGUUAUCCGGAUUUACUGGGUGUAAAGGGAGCGUAGACGGCAAUGCAAGCCAGAUGUGAAAGCCCGGGGCUCAACCCCGGGGCUGCAUUUGGAACUGUGUAGCUGGAGUGCCGGAGAGGCAGGCGGAAUUCCUAGUGUAGCGGUGAAAUGCGUAGAUAUUAGGAGGAACACCAGUGGCGAAGGCGGCCUGCUGGACGAUGACUGACGUUGAGGCUCGAAAGCGUGGGGAGCAAACAGGAUUAGAUACCCCAGUAGUA